GAUGAACGCUGGCGGCGUGCCUAAUACAUGCAAGUCGAGCGAACAGACGAGGAGCUUGCUCCUCUGACGUUAGCGGCGGACGGGUGAGUAACACGUGGAUAACCUACCUAUAAGACUGGGAUAACUUCGGGAAACCGGAGCUAAUACCGGAUAAUAUAUUGAACCGCAUGGUUCAAUAGUGAAAGACGGUUUUGCUGUCACUUAUAGAUGGAUCCGCGCCGCAUUAGCUAGUUGGUAAGGUAACGGCUUACCAAGGCAACGACGCGUAGCCGACCUGAGAGGGUGAUCGGCCACACUGGAACUGAGACACGGUCCAGACUCCUACGGGAGGCAGCAGUAGGGAAUCUUCCGCAAUGGGCGAAAGCUUGACGGAGCAACGCCGCGUGAGUGAUGAAGGUCUUCGGAUCGUAAAACUCUGUUAUUAGGGAAGAACAAAUGUGUAAGUAACUAUGCCCGUCUUGACGGUACCUAAUCAGAAAGCCACGGCUAACUACGUG
rnacentral:rRNA from 1 species